rnacentral:lncRNA from 1 species
CUGGAGCCAAUCUGAAUAUGGCUAGUGAGCUGUUACUCAUCGAGAUCUCCUCGCCAGCAGUCUUUACUCUCCAGUGAGAAAAUCAAGGUUACCUCGCCUGCAUUCUGUUAUACCUUCUUCAGCGGGAGAGAAGGUGGUGGCGUUAUGGCAUACCUGCCCAGAAUAACCAACGACCUGAGGCGGUUCAAGAAUUCGCUCUGGACAGAGGCAUAUGUAUCAUCCACCCUUUCCAUACUGAAGAAAACAGAUUCAGAGGUACCACUACGGCGGUUACUUUACAAGUCAGCUCACCGUUUCCAGACUUUCAAAAGGAAAGACAGAAGACGAAAAGAGACAGAGAAAAAUUUAAAAUACAUUUACUUUAAAUGCACAGUUGUUUUGCCUGUCCUGUUGUACCCGAAUAUUAAUACCACAGUUGAUCUUAGGUGGUACAAGAAUAAAACAUUUUAAAUUUGAAUACUUCAGUAGUGAUUUUACUAAGUAAUGGG